AUGUUUGAGGAGAUUUGCGGGGAACAGAGACGUUUGUACUAGGCCGCCUAUGUUUGUGGAUUGCGGGGGCACAUGACGUAUGUGCUUACGACGCAUAUGAUUGCGAAAAUGGCGGGGGUACAAAGACGUUUGUACUUACGACGCUAGAGAUGGCGGGGGUACAACGAGGUUGUACUUACGACGCCUGAUUUGCGGGGUACAGAGUGGACUUCUGUAUUACGAUGCCUAUAGAGUUAUACACAUAUAUCCUUAUAAGAAGAAUGCGGGGUGCAGGGAUUAGCUAUGUACUAUCAUCGCAUUGUUUGUCGUUGUAUGGUGCAAUAGACAUAUGAUUGUUAUGUGUGGUGUAAUAGGCACCGUGAUUGUCUCAUGCUAGAGCUAGGCCUACAUAGUUGUAAUGCUAUGAACUGAGUCAGUGGUUUGCGGUUUAGCAUCCCAUACCUCACUGGACGAUUCCCAUGUCGGUCACCCCUCCUUCUUUCCCCCUUUCACGUGAGACCGACGAGCAGGAGUGAUUAUCGGACUGGUGCUAUUGGGCUUUUGGGCUUCUAUCGUUUUUAUCGUUGUUGGACUUUUAGGCAUUUGGACUUUUAUCGCUAUGUUAUUUCCUAUUUCAGACUUUCGGAUUUAUGUUGUCUUUAUAUUUUAGACUUAUGCCGUUAUCUAUAUUUCUGAUGUUAUUUUAUAUUGUGGAUUUCCCGCAUGGAUGUUGACUUGUAAGUAUUUAUAAAUGGAGGUUUCAGAAAUUAUUAUUUAUCGAAUUAUUUUUAUUAUUUCGAAAGUAACGGAUGUCACAUUUUGGUAUCAGAGCUAUUUAUUAAUCGUAAUAUUUUAUUAUGUAAAUCGGGGUGUCACAAUUUUGGUAUCAGAGCUAUUUAUUAAUCGUAAUAUUUUAUUAUGUAAAUUGGGGUGUCACAAUUUUGGUAUCAGACCGGGUUCUGUCCCGGUUCCGACCCGGGAUGGCGAUUUGUGGGGACGUGGUUUUGAUUUGGAUUUGACUCGGUUUAAUCGUUUUUAAAGGGUUUCAAUUUUAUUUCUGGGGAUUUGGGAGUUUUAAAGAAAAAAAAUUACAACACCUUUCCGUUCAGUGACUUCUAAUCCAAUUGUGUUUUUAUUGACGAUGAGUAAAAUCGUCAUCCGUUCUCUAGCUAACAGGGUUUCAACCAGAUGUUCGAGAGAUGGAUGAUGUCACAGUUUGGCAGAUUGCUCAUGUGUGUAUCAGUUUCGUCAGCCGUGUUCGGAGAUUGUCCGCAUGUGGAUGUGUGACGUUGUUGCCACCACCCAAACUUCAAGCCAUCGCUCCACGAGUUUUUGUACUGGAGAUUAUGUGGUAUGAGAUGUGAGCCAUGAGUCGGCAUGUGUUAUUCGUGUGUAUGAGUAUACUUACUGCCUUGGAGGCAUGGCUAUUUUGUAAACUCGUGGGGAUCGCUUUUGGAUUUGGGGUGCGGCAGCUUGCGUUGUGUUGAUAUAGGAGUUAUGCUUUGUAUGUUUGCCAGUUUUUGGCAUUGUUGAUCGUUUCAGAGAUGUGUAAGUUCGAACAGCUGACAUAGAAAUGUUGUGAGCUAUUUAUAUUCAUCGCCACGUACCAGUUAUACUUGGAGUGCCGAUUUAUUCGGAGACUCGUCAGAGAGAUGGAGCUUCGUUUUUACGAUGUUAUCCCUUGGAUGGAUUGGCUGUUACGACAUCGAGUAGUGUUGGAGUGCAUAAGGGCAAGAGUUCAGAUUCCUGGAGUGGAGCAUAGUUUUACUGCAUGCAGAGGAGUUAUUGGAUAUGGGGAGUAAAUGGAUUUUUGGUGAUCAUUUCGUUGAUCAAGAUGAGUUGCGGGAUCUUAUAGUUAUCUCAGAGUAUGGAGAUGUAUUUGUGGCCUUUGGAAUGGCCACCACCAGUCACAUGAGACGCUCUUUCGAUUGAGUUGGAACCAUGGACAACACCGGUUUAACGGGCUUCAUACCGUUUAGCGCCAGCCGAGAUGGCCGAGCUGAAAGAGCAUAUGGAAGAUUUAUCAAACCGAGUACUUCACCGUGGGGAACAUCAUCAUUGUUUGUAAAGAAUAAAGAUGGGAGUUUCAGGCUUUGUAUCGACUACAUAGACUUGAACGUGGUAACCAUCGUAUUGAUGCGUGGCUGGAUUAGAUGGAGGGAGAUUCAUGGUUCUCGAAGGUUGUCUUGGCAUUAGGAUACCAUCAGAUUGAUAUACCUGAGGAGUAUGUACGGAAUGCGGAUUUCCGUUAUGGAUAUUAUGAGUUUUGGUGAUACUAUUUGGAUCGACAAAUGCACCGAUAACAUUCAUGAAGGUUGUGAAUGAUGCCUUUCGUGAACACUUGGACAAGUGCGCGAUUGUACUUAUCGACGACCCCUUUGAUUUAUUUUUGGAGUAGAGGAGCAUGAUGAGCAUUUGCGGAUUGGAUAUUGAUGCAUGAGGAUCAGGUCAUUGCAUAUGCAUCACGUCAGUUGAGACCUCACGAGACCGACUACCCUAUUCAUGAUUCAGAGUGGCUGCAGUGCUAUUUGCGUUAUUGUUUGGAAAUCGUAAUUGUAUGGGAAAGAAGUUCAGAUUCUCUGGGACCGCUAGAAUCUGAAAUUUAUUUUCAUUCAUUAAAACUUGUACUUGGACAGUGCAGUUGGAUUGAGUUUGUAGCAGGCUACAGUUUGGAUAUCGCAUACCAUCUGGUAAGGACAACCAUGUGACAAAUGCCUUGGGUAGGCAUAUGAGCAACGUAUCGGGAACCAAGGUGGUUCAGGAGUUUACUGGGACAGUUGCUAGUCUCAUUUUGUGUGCCACUACUGUCGAUGGAGAGACAUAUGGCCUUGAGCUUUAGAGAAAGCAGUUUUGCUAUGCAGGAUACGCCAAGCGCAGGUUAGCGUUAUGGUUUUGGUUGAGCAGAUCAAGAUUGGGAAUAUUGGAUAUCAUCAGUUUUGAGCGGGAUGUACCUGUACCGAAACCGAGUUUGUGUGUUGGACGAUAAGCUGUUAAGAAAAGGGAUCUUACAGUAAACACAUCACUCGUGUUUCUCUACCCAUUGGAAACACCAAGGGAGUACAAAGAUAUGUCAUGUUAUUAUCAUUGGCCUAGUAUGAAAACAGUUGCACCUAUAUUGCGUCGAGGUGUCAGACAUUUCAGAUGGUUAUGUCAGAGGAUCAGUUAUCUAUCAUGUUAUUUUGAGCUUGCUUUUGCUAGAGUGGAAAUGAGGCUUGGUGAUUAUGGAUGUUGUUACUGGAUUGCCAAUCACCACAUGUGCAAUGGAUGCCACAUAGGUAGUCAUGGGUAGACAUACCAAGUCAGCCGCCAUUUUUAGUAAUUAAGAAGUUGGACAUAGUUAAGCAGUUGGCGUAGACUUACAUCAGCGUGAUUGUGAGGUUGCAUGGAGUUCUUAUCAGCAUUGUAUCGGAUCGGAAUGUGAGUUCACAUCAGUAUUUCAGAGUCUUUCGGAGGGCGCUUAGGACAAAGGUCCAUAUAAGUACAGCUUAUCACCCGCAUACAGAUGGUCGGUCAGUGACGACUACUCAGAACUUAAAGGAUAUGUUCAGGGAUUGCGCCUACCAGUGGGAUGAAAGUUCGGAAAGCAUCUACCUCUACCAGAGUUUGCCUACAUAGACAACUAUCUUUUGAGAUUUGAGAUAUCACUAUAUGAGGGUUGUUUAUGGUAGACCUUAUCGUAUACCACUUUGUUGGACCAAAGUGAGGGAACGACAUGAGUUAGAACCAGCAAUGGUUCAAGGGACGGUAGAGCAAAUGGAAAUGCUCAAAGCUUGGGUUAGGAAGUCCAUAACCGCCAGAGGAGUUAUGCAGCUAAGUGCCGCAAGGAUUUGGAGUUACAGAUGGGCGAUCUAGUGUACCUGAAAAUAAAGACGUUUCAGGGAGGAUCUAAGACUCAGAAGCUAAAGACGCUUACUCAGAGAUAUAUGGGACUAUAUUCUAUUUUGGAGCGGAUUGAACCAGUUGCUUAUCGUUUGGAUUUAUCAGCAGAGCUGUCAGACUUCCACCGUGUCAGUUUUGGAAAGCUCGUGAGAGAGCUAGAGCUCAUUUUGCAGCAGCUGCCAAUCGACCUUGGCAAGGAUUUGUGUGCAUCGUGUCUGCCAGUAAAGAUAUUGGAUCGCCAAGUGGAAGCAAAGCAGGGUAUGAUGACCAUGUGGGUCAAAGUUCAUACGGAGAGAGAUGAAAUUCAUGAAGAGGCUUCGGAGACCAAGCAGAUGGAUUAUUCAUAGUUUUGUUGCAAUGUUGAUUGGCAGUCAUGGGAUGACUCGAAUUCGGGGACGAAUUCUUUAUUAGUGGGGGAGAAUUGUAACGACCCGAUUCCGGUCUCGGAGUUUGUUACCCGGCUAAGUCAUAUGCAUUUAUCUGAAGGACAAUUAUUUGCCUAUAAAUACCCACCCUUCACACUGUUUUCUCCACCGGCAUCAACAAAAAAAUGAGAAGUUAGAAAAAGAAAGAGAAUGAGAGAGAGAGAGAGAGAGAGAGAGAGAGAGAGAGAGAGAGCUAAGAAGAAGAAGAAAAUGAGAAACCUUUGAAGUGGAGCCACCAGAGAGAGUAGGAGCCACCGCACGCCGAGACUUCGCCAAGCUUGUCACCACCGUUCGCCACAGCCGAGAAUCGCCGGAAACCGCCGCCUCAUAAGCUUUGUUUUCGUUCGUUCAGUAAAUCGGCCAUAUCUUUCUAACCGUUGCGAAUCUCGUGCAUCCAAGGCCAUCAUCGUGUUCCUCUCGACGAGAUGAAGCCGUAGCCGCCGACCAAGCCGCAAUCGGAGCCCGGAUGAGCCCGCACACGCCCCCGCAAGUUUCGCCGACUGCACGCGUGUCGUCCAUGCGCCGCCGCCGGAAAUCGCCUCCGCCGCCGUCCGCCGUCGUAGUCCGCCGCAGCUCCGUCGUAGUCCGCCGUAGCUCCGCCGCCGUCCGCCGUCGUAGUCCGCCGCAGGUAAUUCGAUUCUUUUAUCAAUCUAUAUAUUAAAUUUUAUCGGCUGUUCAGGCUAACCAACUAUGCUCUGAUUUAUUCUGGUGAAGGAAGCCAAAUUUUGGAAACUUUACAAGGAAGAUAAACCUUCUUGUGCAAUUGUUAUAAGAACUGCUGCUGGUUUAGUUCAUCUUCUUGCACAAUUGUUAGAACCUUUCAUGCCAUCAUUUUCUCGUGAGGUAUUUAAACAGCUAAAUUUGCCACUACAAUUUUCACUCUCUGACGAGGGAGGAGAGGUUUUAUUAGCAAGUAGACCGUGGGAGAUUCUGCCUCGCAAUCACAAGAUAGGCACCCCUCAACCAUUGUUCAAGGAAUUGACAGAUGAAGAAGUGCAACAGUACAAAGACAAGUUUGCUGGAAAUCAGGCUGAUAGACGUGCUAGGGAUGCAGAAGCCGCAAAUAUGGCGGCGGAUCAACUUAAGAAAACAAAACUUUCAAGUUCUAUACGCUGUUUGGCAUCCUCUACUAGACUUUCUAAAUCAUAGUCAUUUGUGGCUACGGUAACUUGAUUAUAUAUUCUGCUGCUCUUUUUUUCUUGUUCUUUUAGAUGCUAAAAAGCAAAAAGCAUGAAAAGGUGCAGCAACAUCCAAAACUCAACCGGCUGCUGAUCGUGAACUUACACUGGCAAGACUUGAUAUUCGAGUCGGUAAAAUUCUCAAGGCUGAGAAACAUCCUAACGCAGAUUCGCUGUAUGUGGAAGAAAUUGAUGUUGGAGGAGCUGAAACUCGGACUAUUGUUAGUGGAUUGGUCAAGUACAUACCUCUUGAGGAGAUGCAGAACCGUAUGGUUUGUGUUCUUUGCAACUUGAAACCGGCGAAAAUGAGGGAUGUUAUGUCACAAGGAAUGGUUCUUGCCGCUUCCAGUAGUGACGGCAGCAAGGUGGAGUUAGUCGAGCCCCCUGAAUCGGCUGAGAUUGGAGAGCGAGUUAGAUUUCAAGGGUUUGAAGGCGAGCCAGACGUUGUCUUAAAUCCGACGAAGAAAGUAUGGGAGACUCUUGUGGUGGAUCUGCACACAGAUGAGAAUCUAGUUGCUUGCUACAAAGAUUUACCCUUCACUACAGAUGCAGGUGUAUGCAAGGUUUCCUCCAUCAGCAAUGGCACGAUCCGGUAGAUCUCAUUUGAAAAAUUGGGAUUUUUUAUUAACAAACAUGUUUCUAUUGAACUAAUAACUUGUUUUCACCUUUGGUUAUUAAUUGAUGGUUUGAGAGAGAGUGUUAAUUUUUAUACUCCCUCUGUUUUUUAAGGAUCAAAUGUUGUAAAGGACCACAAGAGGUCAAAAUAAUCUCAUAUGGAUUUCUUACCUUUUUA